rnacentral:rRNA from 1 species
UGCAAGUCGAGCGGUAGAGAGAAGCUUGCUUCUCUUGAGAGCGGCGGACGGGUGAGUAAUGCCUAGGAAUCUGCCUGGUAGUGGGGGAUAACGUCCGGAAACGGACGCUAAUACCGCAUACGUCCUACGGGAGAAAGCAGGGGACCUUCGGGCCUUGCGCUAUCAGAUGAGCCUAGGUCGGAUUAGCUAGUUGGUGAGGUAAUGGCUCACCAAGGCGACGAUCCGUAACUGGUCUGAGAGGAUGAUCAGUCACACUGGAACUGAGACACGGUCCAGACUCCUACGGGAGGCAGCAGUGGGGAAUAUUGGACAAUGGGCGAAAGCCUGAUCCAGCCAUGCCGCGUGUGUGAAGAAGGUCUUCGGAUUGUAAAGCACUUUAAGUUGGGAGGAAGGGUACUUACCUAAUACGUGAGUAUUUUGACGUUACCGACAGAAUAAGCACCGGCUAACUCUGUGCCAGCAGCCGCGGUAAUACAGAGGGUGCAAGCGUUAAUCGGAAUUACUGGGCGUAAAGCGCGCGUAGGUGGUUCGUUAAGUUGGAUGUGAAAUCCCCGGGCUCAACCUGGGAACUGCAUCCAAAACUGGCGAGCUAGAGUAUGGUAGAGGGUGGUGGAAUUUCCUGUGUAGCGGUGAAAUGCGUAGAUUUAGGAA